rnacentral:rRNA from 1 species
AUUGAACGCUGGCGGCAUGCCUUACACAUGCAAGUCGAACGGCAGCACGGUUGUUUGCUCCUGGUGCCGAGUGGCGAACGGGUGCGUAAUACGUCUGAAUCUGUCCUGUCGUUGGGGAUAGCCCGGAGGAAGCCGGAUUUAUGCCGCAUCCGCUCGACGGAUGCAAGCGGGGGACGUUAGGGUCUCGCGCUGUAGGGUUGGCAGAUGCCGGAUUAGAUAGUUGGGGGGGUAAAGGCCUACCAAGGCGACGAUCAGUAGCUGGUCUGAGAGGACGACCAGCCACACUGGAACUGAGACACGGCCCAGACUCCUACGGGAGGCAGCAGUGGGGAAUUGUGGACAAUGGGCGAAAGCCUGAUCCAGCAAUGCCGCGUGUGUGAAGAAGGCCUUCGGGUUGUAAAGCACUUUUGUUGGGAAAGAAAUCCAGGGGCCUAAUACGGUCGUGUUAUGACGGUACCGGAAGAAUAAGCACCGGCUAACUACGUG